AACGAACGCUGGCGGCAUGCCUAACACAUGCAAGUCGAACGAGAUCUUCGGGUCUAGUGGCGCACGGGUGCGUAACGCGUGGGAAUCUGCCCUUUGGUUCGGAAUAACAGUUGGAAACGACUGCUAAUACCGGAUGAUGACGAAAGUCCAAAGAUUUAUCGAGAGGGGGUGAGCCCGCGUAGGAUUAGCUAGUUGGUGUGGUGAAGGCGCACCAAGGCGACGAUCCUUAGCUGGUCUGAGAGGAUGAUCAGCCACACCGGGACUGAGACACGGCCCAGAAUCCUACGGGAUGGAGCAGAGCGGAAUAUUGCAAAAGGGGCGAAAGCCUGAUCGAGCGAGGCCGCGUGAGUGAUGAAGGCCUUAGGGUUGUAAAGCUCUUUUACCCGGGAUGUUAAUGACAGUACCGGGAUAAUAAGCUCCGGCUAACUCCGUGCCAGCCGCCGCAGUAA
rnacentral:rRNA from 1 species